CUGAACCAGCCAAGUAGCGUGAGGGAUGACUGCCCUAUGGGUUGUAAACUUCUUUUAUACGGGAAUAAAGUGAGGCACGUGUGCCUUUUUGUAUGUACCGUAUGAAUAAGGAUCGGCUAACUCCGUGCCAGCAGCCGCGGUAAUACGGAGGAUCCGAGCGUUAUCCGGAUUUAUUGGGUUUAAAGGGAGCGUAGGCGGACGCUUAAGUCAGUUGUGAAAGUUUGCGG
rnacentral:rRNA from 1 species